AUGGGAGAGGCUCCGAAAUCCACCCAAAUCAUCGAUCUCCAGCCCCCCGGGGGGUCCCUGCGCCUCCUCUGCCGCGCCUCGGGCUUCGAUUUCGGGAUCUACGACAUGGCAUGGGUGCGACAGAGGCCCGGGCAGGCGCUGGAGUUCUUUGCGUGGAUCAGGAACGAUGGUGGCACCAACACCAGCUACGCUGAUUCGGUGCGGGGCCGGUUCAGGAUCUCCAGGGCCAACGGGCAGAGCUCGGUGACGCUGACCAUGAACGGCCUCAAGGACGAGGAUUCCGGCUCCUAUUUCUGUGCCAAAAACGCUGGUGCUGGUUUUUGGGGUGAUCAUGCCGACAGCGCGGUCCCGGCAGAGGGGCCAGGCCCAGCUCAGGAGCCAAAACGGCCCCGAGCGGGCCCCGGGCUGA